AUUGAACGCUGGCGGCAUGCCUUACACAUGCAAGUCGAACGGCAGCACGGGAGCAAUCCUGGUGGCGAGUGGCGAACGGGUGAGUAAUAUAUCGGAACGUGCCCAGUCGUGGGGAUAACGUAGCGAAAGCUACGCUAAUACCGCAUACGAUCUACGGAUGAAAGCGGGGGAUCGCAAGACCUCGCGCGAUUGGAGCGGCCGAUAUCAGAUUAGGUAGUUGGUGAGGUAAAGGCUCACCAAGCCGACGAUCUGUAGCUGGUCUGAGAGGACGACCAGCCACACUGGGACUGAGACACGGCCCAGACUCCUACGGGAGGCAGCAGUGGGGAAUUUUGGACAAUGGGCGCAAGCCUGAUCCAGCAAUGCCGCGUGCAGGAUGAAGGCCUUCGGGUUGUAAC
rnacentral:rRNA from 1 species